UCCAGUUCAUCACUGGCAGUCUCUCUAGAGUGCCCAACUGAAUGCUGGCAACUAAAGAUAAGGGUUUCGCUCGUUGCGGGACUUAACCCAACAUCUCACGACACGAGCUGACGACAACCAUGCACCACCUGUCACCUUUGCCCCCGAAGGGGAAAUCUUAUCUCUAAGACGGUCAAAGGGAUGUCAAGAAUUGGUAAGGUUCUUCGCGUUGCUUCGAAUUAAACCACAUGCUCCACCGCUUGUGCGAGCCCCCGUCAAUUCCUUUGAGUUUCAGUCUUGCGACCGUACUUCCCAGGCGGAGUACUUAAUGCGUUAGCUGCGGCACUAAGGGGUGGUGCCCCUUAACACCUAGUACUCAUCGUUUACGGCGUGGACUAC
rnacentral:misc_RNA from 1 species